rnacentral:rRNA from 1 species
AUUGAACGCUGGCGGCAGGCCUAACACAUGCAAGUAGAACGAGUGGCGGACGGGGGCGUAAUGUCUGGGAAACUGCCUGAUGGAGGGGGAUAACUACUGGAAACGGUAGCUAAUAACGAAUACCAUCAGAUGUGCCCAGGUGGGAUUAGCUUGUUGGUGGGGUAACGGCACACCAAGGCGACGAUCAGUAGAGGGUCUGAGAGGACGAUCUGCCACACUGGGACUGGGACACGGCCCAGACUCCUACGGGAGGCAGCAGGUAGGAAGUUUGGACGAUGGGGGCAACCCUGAUCCAGCCAUGCCGCGUAUAUGAAGAAGGCCUUCGGGUUGUAAAGUACUUUUGUUAGGUAAGCGGUACCUAAAGAAUAAGCACCGGCUAACUACGGGCCAGCAGCCGCGGUAAUAC